CAUAAUAAAAGACGGGAAAUGGGAUUGUGACGCACUUCACAUUUAUGACAGCGUUAUACGAACAUACCGAGCUCCUCAAAAUGAACAACACAAAGUUGGUUGCAAUCCUCUUAGUGGUACUACUGGUGGUAUGUUUGUCCACAGAUUCGGAAGCCGGUAAAGGAAGAAGGAGGACACAAUUCGUUAAUAUUCUUCCAAAUGAACAUGACUCGUUUGGUUAUGAAGAUUUGGGGAGAAAUAUGAAGAGAGAUGUCACGAAACUCGAUGAACAAGACGACCAAAAAAGGUAACGACGCCGAGUGAAGCAAAGAAACAUGCCACAUGCCGCUUGAAACGAAGGCAACUUCAACUUCCCUGAUCUAUCAAGUAAUUUAUGACAGAUAUAGAAUGAACGACGAUUUAUGCCAGUUAGGCAGCAAUCCACGAAAUCUAACAGUGAACUUUAGUGCAUCUGGAAACUUUGCUCUUGCCUACAGUGAUAUACUGGAAAUAUAUGUACUUAAGCCAUGGAAACGCCAAACAGACCAAUAAUCCUAAAAGUUAGUCGACACCGCCCAAAAAUGUAAUGGUAGUGAUAGUUAUUAAGUACUUAUUGUUUAUCUGCCACCAUUAUUAAUCAGUAAAGGGUACAGUUAGAUUAAGGAUUGCUUUGAUUUUAAAUAUUAUAUAGUGGAAGCGACUAGCACUCAAUCCAUGUAGAUCUGCAGUGUAUACGCCGACUGUUGCAGUUUUGUCCGGACAUACGCGUAAGGCAAAUAUGGGGAGACAAUUGGUAGUAUACUAUCAAAGAUAUAAUGCAUUCUGCUUUAAGUAGGAUGAUAACCAGAUGAUCUGCUUGUGCAUCUAUCUAUGUUUUAAGCCCACUGUAUUGCUGUAUCCCGACUCGCGAUUGUUGGUUACAAAAAUGCACUGUGAAUUAGAAAGAUCAGAGACACCCAAGACUAUUAGAAUAUACCGAAAACCCCACAAACGAAAUUUGUGCAAUAUUGUUUGUAAAUAAAAACUUUUGCUGACUCAUUGCAUCAUAACUUUUAGGAUGAUGAGUCGUAUGGAAUAUUUGAUAUAUAACUUUUAUCCCUUAGGCCAUAACAUUUAUAACAGGCAACAAUUUGUUACAUUGUUAGUAUAGUGGGGUUAUAUAAUAAAUGCGGCCUCGUUUGGCCAAAUAUCGAACAA